CAGAGAUUCCUGAGAGUGGACCUCUUUUGCUAUACUGUCAAGCCCUCUGUAGGUCACUAAAGGCCUAUGUUGUUGCUGUCUGGUGACUCUAUGAUGUCACCAAACCUUUUCUCCUUAAAAAAAAAAGAACAAGGUGAAGUUUGCGUUUUUUUUAAGUUCACCUACACCAGCCUUCCCUUUCAAUGAGCACACCAUGAAAAGAAUCAUUAUAUCUGGGUAUGGCUACACUGGGACAGUGUACACACUGGUUUAGUGUUUGGGGAAGGAAUACAUUGGUGUCCACUGUUCCUUCUUCCUGUAGCCCAGAAGGAAUUGAUCAUAGUUUAUGACUAACAGAUUCCCUCUGCACUUUAUCAGAAAGGGUUAAUGCGAUGGAGAAACAGCGUUUAUACCAUUCCUAGCUUUCUCAAGCAAUGGCAAAAGCGCUGUUGGGGUAGAGGUGGUGGGUUGGACAAAGAUGGACAAACCAUGUUGCCUUUCAUUCCUGAUCCCACCAUUGCAAUGUGGGCAGCAUAUCACAUCACAGCACAGCACAGCAAAGCACGUCACGCACAUGUACGAUCCAGUCUAUAGGAACCUUCUUGAGAGGUAAAAUUACUACUGUUGAACUGACACAGACCAAAUAAGCCAAGCAGCCUUUGUAAGUGUGAGGAGAUGUUUCCGAUGAGAAUAGAUUUGUACAUACAGAUCUAACAUGUUUAUUUAAGCUUUUUUGAAAGCAUUUCAUAUGUUCGGACAAAGUUGCUGUGCAGUGCAGCUUCAUGUGUAAAUGCAUUAUCGGUUUAAAGUUGCCAUUGUAAGGUGACAAACACUAUACUACUGUAUGAACAUUGGAUAUCAUUUCAAACUUAUUGAGUGCUGGAAACCAUUUCAUACUUGAUAAGGAGCCCUUGUGAAUUUCUUUUCAACAUUUAUGUCAAUAGUCAUGUUUUUGUUUCAUGCUGAAAUCAGCAUCAAAGCAUCAAAUUGUCUGUCCAUUUUUAUUUUGUUUCUGUUCCUUUCUGUAAAUGGCCCAUAGGAAACCUUGUGGGGAAGUUGAACUUCAGAUGGUAUAAUUUAUGCAAAUCCAAAUCAGAAAGGUAAC
ensembl:lncRNA